UAUCUGCUCACACCUGGAAGCCCCAGAUCCCCACAGUUCAGUGCUGCUCCAGCUCAGGAAGAAAAGAGGGGGUCCCAGGGUGAGGAGUGAGUGGAGGGCUCAGGGGCCUACCAGCAAAGGCACAAGCCCCUUCUGCACGCCAAGGAGGCUGACCGGCACCCUGAUCCCUUCUAGUUCAGAGAAGCUCCCUGUGGUGCAUGCCUGGAGAGGAAGGAAAAUGGAAGGCACAGUGAUGAGUACAGAGCCGGUGCCCACAUCCCUCCGUCUGUCCCCACUGGUGGGUCUUCGUCUGCUGUGAGGAGGUCCUCUUGCCCCCAGCUGUGGCAUGUGACCCCCCCCACGGGUCUGUUCCUGCUCUGGCGCCCCCCAGCCUGGGGGGUUUCUCAAGCACCAGGCUGGGGCCAAGGCCUCUCGGGGUCCCAGCUUCACUCAGAGGAGACUGAGGCCAGAGCCGAAGAUGAGCCGCCCCCGGCCCCCGCCCCGGCUUCUGGAAGGUGAAGCCCAGCUCUGCCCACCUCCUGAAGCGCUGCGUCCCACCCCCGCCUGGGCCGCGUCCUCUGCUUGAGAACGACCUGUGUCCCCGGUGCGGAGGAAACCCCAAGUCCUCGCCUCUGCUGACCUCCCUGCCCCCCCUUCCAGGGCCCCCUCCUGUCCCUACCUCUCUAUCACCACCUGGCGGUUUACUUGUUGAAAACCUUUGUCAUCCAUGUACCCCUCCAGCCAGGCCUCCGUGAGGGAAGGGACACGGUCCCCGCGUGCGGGGGACCCUGUCCCAGAGCGUGGGGGACACUCAGCAAAGCCCCCCCCAGCAGGCAUUGGGUCCCAGUAAUUUCACUGCAGUUGCUGCAAUGGUUCCUGGGGCGUCUGGUGGGGGGAGGUCUGCGCUUCCAGCACCGGGGUGAGGGGCCCGGUGACCUGACGCCGAGCGCCAGGCCUUUGCCCGUGGCUGUGGCCGUGCCCGCUGUGCGGUGUGUCCCUCGCAACCCCUCACGGAGCCAGCCUGGUCUUGGGUCGGCUUUUGGGGACCCCGCACUGAGACCCCAGGAUCUCCACGAAUGGGAAACCCGUGUCGGGGAGGACCCCGCGUCCUUCCUCGGUUCACCGUCUCACCCGCACGCGGGGGCGCCAGGCGGCGCGGCGGGUGAAGCAUCUGCUUUGAUCCCCGCUCAGGGCGUGAUCUCGCGGCUCCUGAGUUCGAGCCCCGCGUCGGGCAGGUGGAGCCCCCUUAGGAUUCUCUCUG